rnacentral:rRNA from 1 species
UACGUAGGGUGCAAGCGUUAAUCGGAAUUACUGGGCGUAAAGCGUGCGCAGGCGGCUAUGCAAGACAGAUGUGGAAUCCCCGGGCUCAACCUGGGAACUGCAUUUGUGACUGCAUGGCUAGAGUACGGUAGAGGGGGAUGGAAUUCCGCGUGUAGCAGUGAAAUGCGUAGAUAUGCGGAGGAACACCGAUGGCGAAGGCAAUCCCCUGGACCUGUACUGACGCUCAUGCACGAAAGCGUGGGGAGCAAACAGG